GGGGGUAUACCCAAGUGGUUAAGGGGCUUCACUCGAAAUGAAGUGUGUUUACACGCGCAGGUUCGAAUCCUGCUGCCCUCG
rnacentral:tRNA from 1 species